rnacentral:rRNA from 1 species
UACGUAGGUGGCAAGCGUUGUCCGGAUUUACUGGGCGUAAAGAGCGCGCAGGCGGUCGUGUAAGUCGCGUGUGAAAGCCCCCGGCUCAACUGGGGAGGGUCACGCGAUACUGUUCGACUCGAAGGCAGGAGAGGGAAGCGGAAUUCCCGGUGUAGUGGUGAAAUGCGCAGAUAUCAGGAGGAACACCAAUGGCGAAGGCAGCUCGCUGGGACUGUACUGACGCUGAGACGCGAAAGCGUGGGGAGCAAACAGG